AAGUCGUAACAAGGUUUCCGUAGGUGAACCUGCGGAAGGAUCAUUAACACGUAUCCAACGUUAAAAACCCCGUGAACCUUCAUCGCCGCUCCUCAUGGCUAAGUCUUGGAUAAAGCCAAACAGCAAUCCCUGCACUCGUCCGAGAAAAUGCAAGAGGAGGGACCUCUGUUUGACAGAGCACUAUGGGUUUAAGAGCGCUUGGUAAGGUGGCUUGUUUUUCCCCAAGCAGUCAGUGAAUGACAGUGUCGCUGAUUGUCUAAGGAUUUCGCUUUACGAUCACUGGAGGUCGAUUACCGACCGGUGGAACAAGUCACAGGGCUUCGGCUCCCUCACGCCGGGCAUUCAAAAACGUUUAAACAACUGUUAACAAUGGAUAUCUUGGUUCUC
rnacentral:misc_RNA from 1 species